CCUCUCACCCCAAGGGGGGCACCUGGGGCCAACCCCCCACUCCUUCCACAAGGCCACUCGCCUCAGGUUUACAGUGAGCUGCUCAGAGAACCACAGCACACUCUCCACAGUUAAUGUCACUUCCCAUUUCUGCUGCUGAGAUGUCCCAAAUGGUGACAACAGGAAGCCUAUUAGAGCUUAAAAACUAGCUCUGUUCCCAGAGGACCAGCGUCCCAAAUUCAGUCACGCCAGAACAAGCAGGAGGAAGGGAAUCGUGUAUGUGUGUCCUGAAAAGUGCAUGAAAGAUGACAGAGCAGAGGAGAGCUCCUCAUCACCACAACCCUCGUUGUACCCUCAAGGAAAGGUGCUCUGACCACUGCAGGAGGAAAAUAGGGGCACAUAGCCUGUGCUCCACACUCAUCUCACCCCUGACCUUCCCUGUCCUGCAGUUCAGUCAUGGAUGACCUGAAGGCAUCAAGAUGCCUCAAUGGUACAAGAUGUAGCCUCAGAUCACGUCACAUUUCCAGCAGCUCAUUAAAAGCACCACCUCAGCAAGGUAGCCCAGGAGGAAGAUGGAGUGUAGGGAGUGCAAGGAAAAGACAAGGAGGGGGUGAAACAAAUGGA